rnacentral:tRNA from 1 species
GCCUGAGUGGCUCAGUUGAUUAAGCGUCUGACUUUGGCUCAGGUCAUGAUUUUGCGGUCUGUGGGUUCGAGCCCUGCGUCGGGCU